AUCCCUUUCCUAAAUGAUCUCAUCUCGUUUCUUCUCCAUGAACCCUCGAUUUCUCUUUAUAAUUUUGCUGGUUUUUGAGAUUCUUGCAGGGAAAUACAAGAAUUUCGAGUUUGAUUAAAAAACUCGGAAUUAUUGGGUAUUUGUUGGCUGAAGAUUAGGGAAAAGACCAAAAUUCCAAGUUGUUGAAGAAGAUCGACACACUGGUUCGGUUUGGCUUCUGUAUAAAUUGAACUCUUAGUUGCAAAAUAUUGGUUUUGAUUUAAUUUCUUUCAUAUAAGAAAUUGGGCUUUUCGGUAAAUUGAUUAUUAUUUUUGUCUGUCCAUGAAAUUUCGGAUUGUAACACUGAGAAAAACAAAAACACACACACACUAUCCAAUCAAUAGCAUUACAAACUCUGUUUUAAG
rnacentral:lncRNA from 1 species